UGGAUCCAGACUUUGAUCCUGGCUCAGGACGAACGCUGGCGGCGUGCCUAACACAUGCAAGUCGAACGAAGCUUGACGGUAGAUUUCUUCGGAAUGAAGCCUGAUAUGACUUAGUGGCGGACGGGUGAGUAACACGUGAGCAACCUGCCUUUCAGAGAGGAAUAACGGCUGGAAACGGUCGCUAAUACCUCAUAAUGUAUAUUUAAGGCAUCUUAGAUAUACCAAAGAUUUAUCGCUGAAAGAUGGGCUCGCGUCUGAUUAGAUAGUUGGUGAGGUAAUGGCUCACCAAGUCGACGAUCAGUAGCCGGACUGAGAGGUUGAACGGCCACAUUGGGACUGAGACACGGCCCAGACUCCUACGGGAGGCAGCAGUGGGGAAUAUUGCACAAUGGGCGCAAGCCUGAUGCAGCAACGCCGCGUGAGGGAAGACGGUUUUCGGAUUGUAAACCUUUGUCUUUGGUGAAGAAGAAAGUGACGGUAACCAAGGAGGAAGCCACGGCUAACUACGUGCCAGCAGCCGCGGUAAUACGUAGGUGGCAAGCGUUGUCCGGAAUUACUGGGUGUAAAGGGAGCGCAGGCGGGACUGCAAGUUGGAUGUGAAAUACCGAGGCUCAACCUCGGGGCUGCAUCCAAAACUGUAGUUCUUGAGUGAAGUAGAGGUAGGCGGAAUUCCGAGUGUAGCGGUGAAAUGCGUAGAUAUUCGGAGGAACACCAGUGGCGAAGGCGGCCUACUGGGCUUUAACUGACGCUGAGGCUCGAAAGUGUGGGGAGCAAACAGGAUUAGAUACCCUGGUAGUCCACACUGUAAACGAUGAUAGCUAGGUGUGGGGGGUCUGACCCCUUCCGUGCCGGAGUUAACGCAAUAAGCUAUCCACCUGGGGAGUACGGCCGCAAGGUUGCAACUCAAAUGAAUUGACGGA
rnacentral:rRNA from 1 species